rnacentral:tRNA from 1 species
GGACAGGUGGCCGAGCGGCUGAAGGCACCGGUUUGCUAAACCGGCGUACGGUGUAAAGCCGUACCGCGGGUUCGAAUCCCGCCCUGUCCG